GGUGAGUAACACGUGGAUAACCUACCUAUAAGACUGGGAUAACUUCGGGAAACCGGAGCUAAUACCAGAUAACAUGUUGAACCGCAUGGUUCAACAGUGAAAGACGGUCUUGCUGUCACUUAUAGAUGGAUCCGCGCCGCAUUAGCUAGUUGGUAAGGUAACGGCUUACCAAGGCAACGAUGCGUAGCCGACCUGAGAGGGUGAUCGGCCACACUGGAACUGAGACACGGUCCAG
rnacentral:rRNA from 1 species